UACAGAGGGUGCAAGCGUUAAUCGGAAUUACUGGGCGUAAAGCGUGCGUGGACGGUUACAUAAGUCGGGUGUGAAAGCCCCGGGCUCAACCUGGGAAUUGCAUUCGAGACUGCGUAGCUAGGGUGCGGAAGAGGGAAGCGGAAUUUCCGGUGUAGCGGUGAAAUGCGUAGAUAUCGGAAGGAACACCAGUGGCGAAAGCGGCUUCCUGGUCCAGCACCGACGUUCAGGCACGAAAGCGUGGGGAGCAAACAGG
rnacentral:rRNA from 1 species